GACGAACGCUGGCGGCGUGCUUAACACAUGCAAGUCGAGCGGUAAGGCCCUUUCGGGGGUACACGAGCGGCGAACGGGUGAGUAACACGUGGGUGACCUGCCCUCAGCUCUGGGAUAAGCCUGGGAAACCGGGUCUAAUACCGGAUAUGACUCCAUGACGCAUGUUGUGGGGUGGAAAGCCUUGUGCGGCUGAGGAUGGGCCCGCGGCCUAUCAGCUUGUUGGUGGGGUGAUGGCCUACCAAGGCGACGACGGGUAGCCGGCCUGAGAGGGCGACCGGCCACACUGGGACUGAGACACGGCCCAAACUCCUACGGGAGGCAGCAGUGGGGAAUAUUGGACAAUGGGCGAAAGCCUGAUCCAGCCAUGCCGCGUGAGUGAU
rnacentral:rRNA from 1 species